rnacentral:rRNA from 1 species
UACGAAGGGGGCUAGCGUUGCUCGGAAUCACUGGGCGUAAAGCGCACGUAGGCGGCUUGUUAAGUCAGGGGUGAAAUCCUGGAGCUCAACUCCAGAACUGCCUUUGAUACUGGCGAGCUUGAGUUCGGGAGAGGUGAGUGGAACUGCGAGUGUAGAGGUGAAAUUCGUAGAUAUUCGCAAGAACACCAGUGGCGAAGGCGGCUCACUGGCCCGAUACUGACGCUGAGGUGCGAAAGCUAGGGGAGCAAACGGG